rnacentral:rRNA from 1 species
GAUGAACGCUGGCGGCGUGCCUAAUACAUGCAAGUCGAGCGAACGGACGAGAAGCUUGCUUCUCUGAUGUUAGCGGCGGACGGGUGAGUAACACGUGGAUAACCUACCUAUAAGACUGGGAUAACUUCGGGAAACCGUAGCUAAUACCGGAUAAUAUUUUGAACCGCAUGGUUCAAAAGUGAAAGACGGUCUUGCUGUCACUUAUAGAUGGAUCCGCGCUGCAUUAGCUAGUUGGUAAGGUAACGGCUUACCAAGGCAACGAUGCAUAGCCGACCUGAGAGGGUGAUCGGCCACACUGGAACUGAGAAACGGUACAGACUCCUACGGGAGGCAGCAGUAGGGAAUCUUCCGCAAAGGGCGAAAGCCUGACGGAGCAACGCCGCGUGAGUGAUGAAGGUCUUCGGAUCGUAAAACUCUGUUAUUAGGGAAGAACAUAUGUGUAAGUAACUGUGCACAUCUUGACGGUACCUAAUCAGAAAGCCACGGCUAACUACGUG